GCUUGUCUGCAAGAGGGUCUUUAAAGUGAGAAGGUUUAAACCUCGGGUGAUAGGUU
rnacentral:tRNA from 1 species